UGGGGAAUUUUGGACAAUGGGCGAAAGCCUGAUCCAGCAAUGCCGCGUGUGUGAAGAAGGCCUUCGGGUUGUAAAGCACUUUUGUCCGGAAAGAAAUCCUCUGGGUUAAUACCUCGGGGGGAUGACGGUACCGGAAGAAUAAGCACCGGCUAACUACGUGCCAGCAGCCGCGGUAAUACGUAGGGUGCAAGCGUUAAUCGGAAUUACUGGGCGUAAAGCGUGCGCAGGCGGUUUUGUAAGACGGAUGUGAAAUCCCCGGGCUUAACCUGGGAACUGCAUUCGUGACUGCAAGGCUAGAGUAUGGCAGAGGGGGGUAGAAUUCCACGUGUAGCAGUGAAAUGCGUAGAGAUGUGGAGGAAUACCGAUGGCGAAGGCAGCCCCCUGGGCCAAUACUGACGCUCAUGCACGAAAGCGUGGGGAGCAAACAGGAUUAGAUACCCUGGUAGUCCACGCCCUAAACGAUGUCAACUAGUUGUUGGGGAUUCAUUUCCUUAGUAACGUAGCUAACGCGUGAAGUUGACCGCCUGGGG
rnacentral:rRNA from 1 species